ACAAGGGCUGCUUUUCUGGGUAUUAGUCACAUAAAACGCUGGUAUACGUGACAUGUAGUACAUUACACGCUUGCGCCGGAUGGAGUUGAAGCUUGUUGAGCCUGAAUUCCGCGGCGACGAAUUAAGUGUAUUUUAUACCGCUUAUAACAUUCAUGUACAAUAUUAUACUGCAUUACUGUGCACAAGCAGCAGCGGCCCGCGGGUAUCUUUCGGCGAGGAAAAGUAUUCGGCCAUAAUUCACACUUUCUGUUUUCUUAUGAACUACACCAUGUACACGACUGCAUUAUCCGUGAAUGCGACGAACUGAAGGACCUGUAUAGAAACUUAUGGUGCUGCAGUAAAUCAAAGAACCCAGACGUAACAUGACUGCAUACGCGUCGUAAGACACUCUUUGGCAAUCAACUGAUCAACAACACUGUGCUGCAAUUAACACUUAUAUUUGCCUUAUAUUUUCAUCCUCUGGAUGUGCUCUUUUUUUGUCCCAAGAUUGUGGAGCGUUUUGGCGACCUGAUUACAGUCUAAAGCAUUGAUUUUGGCGACCUUUGAUCUGAUUGGUGCACGCGGAGGGGACAGUUAAGGACAUUUGUCGUGUGUGAGCUGGCGUAUCCGGAUAUGGAUCGGCCCCUGCUGCGACGCAGAGCCCUAUAGUCCGUAACCUUUACUUCUCCUUGUUUUUAACUGGUCAUCAUUUUGCCGGGAUCGGAUAAAUUGGGAUACUUUCAUCAUGGGUAACGCGGUGGUGGCGGUGAUGCUGCGCAACGAGUGCAACGACAAGCGCGAGCGCGAGAAGGUGGAGAAGAACGACCACAAGAAGUACGUGCAGAAGAAGACGCAGCUCAACAAGAAGCGCACCUCCAUGGCGCCCAGCGCCAGCCAGCCCAGCAAGGUCAAGUUCAAGAAGCAGACCAGCACGACGCCGCCGGCCAAGAAGGCCUAGAUCAUUCCCCCAUCGGUGGACGUGACGUGGAAAGGAACCGGCUAAUUUUUGUACCUGUACAUAAUACAGUACGUACAAGCAACAUCACGCAUAUGGACACCGUUUAAUGCAAAGGUCAAUAUGUUUAUGUUAAAGAAAUUAUCAAUCCCAUGGUGAAGCGCGAUGCCACUCAGGCGUCGCGCGUAACGCUUGCUUUCCUUAAUUAUGAUCCUUCAUUACUACUUACGUAUAACAGUUUAUUAUGUGCAUAUUCUAAUGCAUUAUAAAUAAUUACUUAAUUAAUCUGCACUGCUGUUCUCUUCUUCCUUGUUACAGAUUUUAUCAGCUGAUUGUGCUUUUCCCGAUAAAAUAUGGUCGUUUUCACUUCGAAAUAUAUGAUGAUGCAAGAAUUGGUCAGUGUAGAAAAAUCACAAAUUUGGCAAAACAAUAAAUUUAAGGAUUUCGCUGC